rnacentral:rRNA from 1 species
AGUGAACGCUGGCGGUAGGCCUAACACAUGCAAGUCGAACGGCAGCACAGUAAGAGCUUGCUCUUACGGGUGGCGAGUGGCGGACGGGUGAGGAAUACAUCGGAAUCUACUUUUUCGUGGGGGAUAACGUAGGGAAACUUACGCUACUACCGCAUACGACCUACGGGUGAAAGCAGGGGAUCUUCGGACCUUGCGCGAUUGAAUGAGCCGAUGUCGGAUUAGCUAGUUGGCGGGGUAAAGGCCCACCAAGGCAACGAUCCGUAGCUGGUCUGAGAGGAUGAUCGGCCACACUGGAACUGAGACACGGUCCAGACUCCUACGGGAGGCAGCAGUGGGGAAUAUUGGACAAUGGGCGCAAGCCUGAUCCAGCCAUACCGCGUGGGUGAAGAAGGCCUUCGGGUUGUAAAGCCCUUUUGUUGGGAAAGAAAAGCAGCAGGUUAAUACCCCGCUGUUCUGACGGUACCCAAAGAAUAAGCACCGGCUAACUUCGUG